GACGAACGCUGGCGGCGUGCUUAACACAUGCAAGUCGAACGAAGAGCGAUGGAAGCUUGCUUCUAUCAAUCUUAGUGGCGAACGGGUGAGUAACGCGUAAUCAACCUGCCCUUCAGAGGGGGACAACAGUUGGAAACGACUGCUAAUACCGCAUACGAUCUAAUCUCGGCAUCGAGGAUAGAUGAAAGGUGGCCUCUACAUGUAAGCUAUCACUGAAGGAGGGGAUUGCGUCUGAUUAGCUAGUUGGAGGGGUAACGGCCCACCAAGGCGAUGAUCAGUAGCCGGUCUGAGAGGAUGAACGGCCACAUUGGGAAUGAGACACGGCCCAGAAUCCUACGGGAGGCAGCAGUGGGGAAUCUUCCGCAAUGGACGAAAGUCUGACGGAGCAACGCCGCGUGAGUGAUGACGGCCUUCGGGUUGUAAAGCUCUGUUAAUCGGGACGAAAGGCCUUCUUGCGAAUAGUGAGAAGGAUUGACGGUACCGGAAUAGAAAGCCACGGCUAACUACGUG
rnacentral:rRNA from 1 species